rnacentral:rRNA from 1 species
GAUGAACGCUAGCGGCAGGCCUAACACAUGCAAGUCGAGGGAGAAGCCCUUCGGGGCAGAAACCGGCGCACGGGUGCGUAACGCGUAUGCAACCUACCUUUCACAGGGGGAUAGCCCGAAGAAAUUUGGAUUAAUACCCCAUAAUAUUAUUGGAUGGCAUCAUUUGAUAAUUAAAAUUACGAUGGUGAAAGAUGGGCAUGCGUCCUAUUAGCUAGUUGGAGUGGUAACGGCACCCCAAGGCUACGAUAGGUAGGGGUCCUGAGAGGGAGAUCCCCCACACUGGUACUGAGACAGGGACCAGACUCCUACGGGAGGCAGCAGUGAGGAAUAUUGGUCAAUGGUCGGAAGACUGAACCAGCCAUGCCGCGUGCAGGAAGAAUGCCUUAUGGGUUGCAAACUGCUUUUAUAUGGGAAGAAUAAGGAGUACGUGUACUUUGAUGACG